UGUAUGACCCAGAAGCUUCAAGCUUCUCGAACACGAUCUCACGACCCGGCGACGGUGAAACUUGACCCGACCUCACGUCUCGAUUUCGGCCACCUUAGAUCGACGGACCAAUGGCGACUGAUCCCUCUCGGCGGCGUGGUGCAAGCCGUGACCUCAGAUCAUCCAAUCGACAGCGGUACGACGUCCAGAAGCCUCUGCAACUCCGCUAGCUUUCUAGCAAUUUCCGGCGACUCCAGUGGCGGUGCAGCUUGCAUGUUGUACGGAGGUUGGUCUACUCGUCGUGCUCUACACGUCUAUGCAAGUAGUGCUUCAAUUCGAUUAGGUUUUGGAGAAAUUGUAUUUUGGGUGCUUCGGAUUUUUACUGUGAUUGCAGUUUCCGGCAGCAAUUCUGGACUUCUGACUCUUUUUCGGUAGCUAUAUAUCCUGGUCCCAGAACUCGGAAGGAUGAUAGGUCGAACCAGAUGAUUGGCCGAGCUGAGUUGAUAAUCUUGGUUUGGAAAUGAGAACAAAUGGGAGAAGACACACGAAAGCGGCCAAAGUUUCAGGGUAUGGUCGAAGGUUCGGAGGAAGAUGAGUCAUGACUCAUGAGACCCUUUCAAGGAGGUGAUUGAGGCAAUACAAUAAUAACAUUUGGAGCUAUAUGUCCAAGAAUCAAACACAUAGCUUCUGGGUUUGUCAUUCCUCCACCGACUGUUCUCUCACCUCCGAGUUCUCACUCAACUUCAACCGAUGUGUGGGUGUCAGUCUGCACUCAGUGCCUUCCUCUUCGAUUAGGCAGACCACGACUGAUUGGCACGUGAAUGACCAUUUCACCCCUCCAUUGAGAGGGAUGGCGCCACAGUAAAGAGUUUUUUACCCACUGUAGCUACCUUGUCGUUUGCGAAAGAUUUAAUGACCAUUUUGCCCUUCCGUUUGGGGCGCAUCAUACGCAGGGCGCAUUCCAUAAAUUUCCUUGAAAACAAUGCUCAGAUCCUAUAGACCCAUUUUGGUUUAGUCACAAGGCAUCUGCCCACUGUUUGUGUAUGCAGAGAGGCUCCAAAAGCCCAC